rnacentral:rRNA from 1 species
UUGGAGGGCAAGUCUGGUGCCAGCAGCCGCGGUAAUUCCAGCUCCAAUAGCGUAUAUUAAAGUUGUUGAGGUUAAAAAGCUCGUAGUUGAACCUUGGGCCUAGCCGGCCGGUCCGCCUCACCGCGUGCACUGGCUCGGCUGGGUCUUUCCUUCUGGAGAACCUCAUGCCCUUCAUUGGGUGUGACGGGGAACCAGGACUUUUACUCUGAACAAAUUAGAUCGCUUAAAGAAGGCCUAUGCUCGAAUACAUUAGCAUGGAAUAAUAGAAUAGG